GUGCUUGCUUUAGCAGCACAUAUGCUAAAAUUGGAACAAUGCAGAAAAGAUUAGCAUGGCCCCUAUGCAAGGAUGACACAAAAAUUCAUGAAGAAUUUGAUAUUUAA
rnacentral:snRNA from 1 species